AACGAACGCUGGCGGCAGGCUUAACACAUGCAAGUCGAGCGCCCCGCAAGGGGAGCGGCAGACGGGUGAGUAACGCGUGGGAAUCUACCGAGCCCUACGGAAUAGCUCCGGGAAACUGGAAUUAAUACCGUAUACGCCCUACGGGGGAAAGAUUUAUCGGGGUUUGAUGAGCCCGCGUUGGAUUAGCUAGUUGGUGGGGUAAAGGCCUACCAAGGCGACGAUCCAUAGCUGGUCUGAGAGGAUGAUCAGCCACAUUGGGACUGAGACACGGCCCAAACUCCUACGGGAGGCAGCAGUGGGGAAUAUUGGACAAUGAGCGCAAGCCUGAUCCAGCCAUGCCGCGUGAGUGAUGAAGGUCUUAGGAUUGUAAAGCUCUUUCACCGGUGAAGAUAAUGACGGUAACCGGAGAAGAAGCCCCGGCUAACUUCGUGCCAGCAGCCGCGGUAAUAC
rnacentral:rRNA from 1 species